rnacentral:rRNA from 1 species
AAUGAACGCUGGCGGCGUGCCUAACACAUGCAAGUCGAAUGUGGCAUCCAUCUUCGGAUGGGUGUUGCAUGGCAGACGGGUGAGUAACGCGUGGGCAAUCUACCUUUUAGUGGGGAAUAACGCUCCGAAAGGAGUGGUAAUACCGCAUGAGACCUUUGGCUGGGAUGCUGGAGGUGAAACCUGGGGACCGCAAGGCCUGGGGCUAAAAGAGGAGCCUGCGUCUGAUUAGCUAGUUGGUGGGGUAACGGCCUACCAAGGCAUCGAUCAGUAGCCGGCCUGAGAGGGUGAUCGGCCACACUGGAACUGAGACACGGUCCAGACUCCUACGGGAGGCAGCAGUGGGGAAUUUUGGACAAUGGGCGCAAGCCUGAUCCAGCGAUGCCGCGUGUGUGAAGAAGGCCUGCGGGUUGUAAAGC